GCCAGACUCCUACGGGAGGCAGCAGUGGGGGAUAUUGCACAAUGGGGGGAACCCUGAUGCAGCGACGCCGCGUGGGUGAAGGAGCACCUCGGUGCGUAAAGCCCUAUCGGCAGGGAAGAAACAGACGGUACCUGACUAAGAAGCCCCGGCUAACUACGUGCCAGCAGCCGCGGUAAUACGUAGGGGGCAAGCGUUAUCCGGAUUCACUGGGUGUAAAGGGAGCGUAGACGGCCAUGCAACCCUGGAGUGAAAGCCCGGGGCCCAACCCCGGGACUGCUCUGGGAACUGUGCGGCUGGAGUGCGGGAGGGGCAGGCGGAAUUCCUGGUGUAGCGGUGAAAUGCGUAGAUAUCAGGAGGAACACCGGCGGCGAAGGCGGCCUGCUGGACCGCGACUGACGUUGAGGCUCGAAAGCGUGGGGAGCAAACAGGAUUAGAUACCCUUGUAC
rnacentral:rRNA from 1 species